GUUUACUUUUAUUAAUAAAUAAUAACAUUAAAAUACGGUAUAUUUCGGUUAGGUUUUAUUUUAGCCUGUGCGUGUCCAAAUAAUUUAAAUAUUAUGCGUUCCGAUAACCUUUGACCCUGCGGCGUACACGUAAAGAAAAUGUAUGUUAUACACUCACGUAUAUACAAUAAUCGUCUCGUAAUAUUGUAGUUUUCGUUUCCAUGACUGCACUCGACAAACUUUA